UCCAGACUCCUACGGGAGGCAGCAGUGGGGGAUAUUGCACAAUGGGGGGAACCCUGAUGCAGCGACGCCGCGUGGGUGAAGAAGCGCCUCGGCGCGUAAAGCCCUGUCAGCAGGGAAGAAAAUGACGGUACCUGAAGAAGAAGCCCCGGCUAACUACGUGCCAGCAGCCGCGGUAAUACGUAGGGGGCAAUCGUUAUCCGGAUUUACUGGGUGUAAAGGGAGCGUAGACGGUGAUGCAAGUCAGAAGUGAAAGCCCGGGGCUCAACUCCGGGACUGCUUUUGAAACUGUGUAACUGGAGUGCAGGAGGGGUGAGCGGAAUUCCUGGUGUAGCGGUGAAAUGCGUAGAUAUCAGGAGGAACGCCAGUGGCGAAGGCGGCUUACUGGACUGUAACUGACGUUGAGGCUCGAAAGCGUGGGGAGCAAACAGGAUUAGAUACCCCCGUACA
rnacentral:rRNA from 1 species